rfam:Phytophthora infestans T30-4 supercont1.24 genomic scaffold, whole genome shotgun sequence.
ACCCGUCUAGCUCAGUCGGUAGAGCGCUGGCCUUUUAAGCCAGUGGUCGUGGGUUCGAUCUUCACGGGGGGUG